rnacentral:tRNA from 1 species
GCGGUGGUAGCUCAGUUGGGAGAGCGUCUGACUGAAGAUCAGAAGGCCGGGUGUUCAAGUCACUCCCACCGCA